GGCGAGGCGAGGCCUGCGGAGCGGAGGAAGACAAACAUAAAGAUGAAGUGCUUAAUUCAAGGUCACACAAUGUCGGGGAUGGACCUCCAGAUUUCCUUACUGACCUGCAUUAUCUUGUGGAUACCUGAGUGAAUUCCACACCACCCAUUUUAUAGAUGAAACCACUGAGACAUGGAGCAAUUGACUGAGUAGUCACUGCCCCACCCCUGCCUGGAGCCUCACACAUGACUCGCCUCCUCUCAGUGACCACAGGUGAGACGUGGUCUUGUAACACAGUGGUUAAGAAUGUGACUUUGGAGCCAGCCUGCUAGGGGCUGAAUUCUGACUCAGCCAUUUACUAACUGUGUGACCUUAGGGAGGAGGACCUGGUUGAUAGAAGAAUUUAUCUCGUAGUCUUAACAUCCACUGUAAUUCCAAACUUUGAGGACGAUAGAGAUCAGUGGGCUUUGACUGCCCAGCAUGCAGUCUCCAUUCUUAGGUCACAGAAUUUUCCACACUCCUUGACAGAGGUGCUUAACCCUUAUCCAUCAGCAUUCUCAGACAGCACCUCCGGUUAGGGACAGUAUCUGACCGUCCGACAUCCCUGCAGCCCCCAUGUGUCACACAGACUCAGCCUCAGGUAGAUGGUUUCCGUAGAUGGUGGCUUUCUUUGGACCCUUGACAUCAACCAGUUACUAUUUGGUCUAGGGGUCUCACCAACGCUGCUCAUCUAGCAGGGCCACACAUAACAAAUAGAAGCAGAGCAAGCCCUGGAACUCCUGCCUGACAGUGACACGACGACAGAAACAUCUUACCAGUCAGAGGACCAUGAGAAAUAGAUUCAAGGAGCAUUCCACGUGCAAGUGAGUCUUGGCCCCAUCUGCCUUUGGAUUUUAGCCGUGAACUGGAAGGUAUUGGAAAGAAGACCCUCAGAAAUAGCUUAAUCAAAAUCCCUGCGUCUGAACCAAGUGCCUUAUUUCUCUGUGGGCCUCAAGCUUCGCUGACAUCUGUGGAGCACACUGUCCUAACAGGAGUGCUGUCUGAUUUCCCAACGCUCUGCAAAACAAACAGCCUGGAAGGGUGGCUGGUGGAAGGUGGUUUUUAGAGAGAGACUUGUAGAUAACAGGAAAGUGAAGGCUGUAAGGAAGGUUGUAAUUAAACAGCACAUGGAAACACA
rnacentral:lncRNA from 1 species